rnacentral:misc_RNA from 1 species
CCUUAAAGAACCUGCCUUUGUAGUGCUCACACAGAUUGUCUGAUGAAAGUAAAGAAGCAAGGCGUCUUGCGAUUGAGACUUCAGUGUCCCCUUCGUCUAGAGGCCCAGGACACCGCCCUUUCACGGCGGUAACAGGGGUUCGAAUCCCCUAGGGGACGCCACUUGCUGGUUCGUGAGUGAAAGACGCGUGCCGAACUAUCUCAAAACUCAUCUUCGGGUGAUGUUUGAGAUAUUUGCUCUUUAAAAAUCUGGAUCAAGCUGAAAAUUGAAACGACACACUGUUUAAGUGUGUUCGAGUCUCUCAAAUUUUCGCAAUCAGAAGUGAAACAUCUUCGGGUUGUGA